GAUGAACGCUGGCGGCGUGCCUAAUACAUGCAAGUCGAGCGAACAGACGAGGAGCUUGCUCCUCUAACGUUAGCGGCGGACGGGUGAGUAACACGUGGAUAACCUACCUAUAAGACUGGGAUAACUUCGGGAAACCGGAGCUAAUACCGGAUAAUAUAUUGAACCGCAUGGUUCAAUAGUGAAAGACGGUUUUGCUGUCACUUAUAGAUGGAUCCGCGCCGCAUUAGCUAGUUGGUAAGGUAACAGCUUACCAAGGCAACGAUGCGUAGCCGACCUGAGAGGGUGAUCGGCCACACUGGAACUGAGACACGGUCCAGACUCCUACGGGAGGCAGCAGUAGGGAAUCUUCCGCAAUGGGCGAAAGCCUGACGGAGCAACGCCGCGUGAGUGAUGAAGGUCUUAGGAUCGUAAAACUCUGUUAUUAGGGAAGAACAAAUGUGUAAGUAACUAUGCACGUCUUGACGGUACCUAAUCAGAAAGCCACGGCUAACUACGUG
rnacentral:rRNA from 1 species